rnacentral:rRNA from 1 species
AACGAACGCUGGCGGCAUGCCUAACACAUGCAAGUCGAACGAGAUCUUCGGGUCUAGUGGCGCACGGGUGCGUAACGCGUGGGAAUCUGCCCUUUGGUUCGGAAUAACAGUUGGAAACGACUGCUAAUACCGGAUGAUGACGAAAGUCCAAAGAUUUAUCGCCAGAGGAUGAGCCCGCGUAGGAUUAGCUAGUUGGUGUGGUAAAGGCGCACCAAGGCGACGAUCCUUAGCUGGUCUGAGAGGAUGAUCGGCCACACUGGGACUGAGGCACGGCCCAGACUCCUACGGGAGGCAGCAGUGGGGAAUAUUGGACAAUGGGCGAAAGCCUGAUCCAGCAAUGCCGCGUGAGUGAUGAAGGCCUUAGGGUUGUAAAGCUCUUUUACCCGGGAUGAUAAUGACAGUACCGGGAGAAUAAGCUCCGGCUAACUCCGUGCCAGCCGCCGCGGUAA